UGUCUGAACAAGUUCUGCUGGUACUCCUUCCUUCUUGGAUCAUGAAGGAGAAUCUUUUGUGUUUUGUCCAGUGUUAACCCCGUCAGCCAGUCUGAGGAUGUUUUGGUCCUUUUACUGUGUUCCUAUUUAAAGCUGAUUGAUUGCUUUGUGUUUCUUCUCCUGUAAUUUCAUCACUGUGAUUGCACUGUUUGUGUCUUUCUAUAACAGUACCAUCAGCACUGAAAAAUGUGAAGUCAAGGACGUUGGUGUCCAGACAGAGGUUUCCUGCCCUCCAAACUCGCUGCUGUUUUUCUGCACGAAAAAGGUGACCUUAGAUGAUGAGCCGCGUUGUCCUGAAGUCAAUGAGAGAGAUGAGCCAGUUUCCAGGCCGUGUACCCCAGCAGGUCACGGUGGUAGCCAGGGAGCCAUGCUAAGAGACCACGUCACACACUGCUGACUAACAUACGAUGAUGAGUUCGUCAAUGAUGAGCAGUGGCAGAGAACAGCUUACCUGCUGUUCUAUGAAAAACAGUGUACACCGAGGGCCGUGGGAGCGUUGCAAUUACAAAUUCUUGUGUAUGACCUGUCCAUAUGUUUUUUUGACAAAAAGAUGACUUUGAAUUUGAGCAUGUCCAUGCAAAUACUCAGUUUAUGUUCAAACAUGAUUUUGUUCUUUUAAUUUGCUCAAUGACAAAGUUAGGAUUUAGUUUAAGGAAUGGCUGAUUGCAGAUUCCUGUUAGAAAACAAGUGUGUUGCAUUUAUGCAGUGGUUACUAUGGUGGCACUUUAGGUGCAAGUGUUGCAACCACUGUAAAUGUGACACCAUCACCAAAAAAUGUUAUAAAAUCAGAAGAAGAAAGAGAACUCUAAUAUGAUAGCUACACACCAGCUGGACCAUUAUAACAACAUCGCAUCACAUGAGUAACUUCACCAUGACGAGACUUCAAGGACUCCAAGAAUGUUCAUACAGUGAGGAUAAAUCAUGUUUUUUAUUAUUUAUUAUGAAAAAGACACAAUAUAGAUACAUAAAAUGCAGCAGGAGCUGCAACAGCUAACAUGUCAGUUAAUUUGACACGUUGAUUUAUUUAUAAUUUCUUUUUCUCUCUUAGCUUUUCAGCUCCACAUUUUUGCCAUUUCUUCCACACUCAACUCUUUUCUACAAGGUGAGCGCACAGUGAAGGAAGGGGAGGGCUGAUGGCAUUAAGAGAUUUGAUUGGGCAAUCUAGGGGCCAGUUAGU